AGGACUAACGCUGGCGGCGUGCCUAACACAUGCAAGUCGAGCGGGGUAGCAAUACCCAGCGGCAGACGGGUGAGUAACGCGUGGUCAACCUUCCGUUGAAUGGGGGAUAACUAGCCGAAAGGUUAGCUAAUACCGCAUACGAUCUUUUGAAGGCAUCUUUAAAAGAUGAAAGGAGCAAUUCGUUCAACGACGGGACCGCGUCCCAUUAGCUAGAUGGUGGGGUAAUGGCCUACCAUGGCAACGAUGGGUAGCUGGUUUGAGAGAGCGACCAGCCACACUGGGACUGAGAAACGGCCCAGACUCCUACGGGAGGCAGCAGUGAGGAAUUUUCCGCAAUGGGCGAAAGCCUGACGGAGCGACGCCGCGUGUGGGAAGAAGGCCUUCGGGUCGUAAACCACUGUCGAAGGGGACGAUAAUGACGGUACCCUUGGAGGAAGCCCGGCUAACGUACGUGCCAGCAGCCGC
rnacentral:rRNA from 1 species